UACGUAGGGGGCUAGCGUUGUCCGGAAUCAUUGGGCGUAAAGCGCGUGUAGGCGGCUCGAUAAGUCUGCUGUGAAAGUCCAGGGCUCAACCCUGGAAUGCCGGUGGAAACUGUCGAGCUUGAGUCCGGAAGAGGCAAGUGGAAUUCCUGGUGUAGCAGUGAAAUGCGCAGAUAUCAGGAGGAACACCAAUGGCGAAGGCAGCUUGCUGGGACGGUACUGACGCUGAGACGCGAAAGCGUGGGGAGCAAACAGG
rnacentral:rRNA from 1 species